UUCAGCGUUGUCAAAAAAUGAUUACAAGCAUCAAAAACCUCUCGUACGCAGAAUUAACCAUAAUAAAGAAAUGAAGGAAAACAACAUAGCAAGCCUGGCUACUAACAGAAAUGUGCUCCAGCUUAAACUGGAGGAGACACAGAAGCUCCUCGAGAAUCAGCAUUUAAGUGAUCUGCAAAAAUUUUGUGAUGAAGUUAAUCAGAUAGCCAAUUCUGAAACUCUCUCAAGUACAGACAGUCUUGAGGCUGGAGAGCGUGAAGAAAUAUACAUCACACUUAGUAUGGAGCCUUCCACAUCAACCCAGCAGAACUCUGUUCCCCUCAAGUCAGCAAAUCUACAGUCAGCUCAUUUAAACUGCUUUGAUGAAGACAAACUGUCAUUCUCUAAAACUCAGCAUAUAAACAAUUGGCUUACAAACUUAGAUGCUCAAAAUACUCAGCCUGUUGUAUCUUUUUCAGAUAUUUUAAUUAAAUCUAAUAUUCUGCCUUCAUGGGAAUGUUUGAAUAGUAAAGAACAAAAUCCACCUGCUUUGAAUAGAGCUGUAGGAAGAGCCACAAGAACUACUAGUGACUCAGUGGUCUUUGUGUGCAGCCCUUCUGUAGUUGCACUAGAUAAAAAAGAAAACACUGCUGAAAAUAAUACUGUGAGGACAAAUGAUCCUACUAAUGGAGCACUCCAAAGGGAGAGGCCGCCACGAACUGAGUCCCCAACAUUUCAAGUCAGUCGAGCCUGGACUACUCCAGAAUCUCUAACCCAGGAAGCAACUUUGUUUUCCAUCCAAGAGAGACCUUCCAAGUUAACUUGGGAAAGCAAAACUACUUCAAGUCCUGCUUCAUCUGCACCAGUUUUGUCGCCUGAUUCACAGUCAGGUGGGCCGUUAGCAGAGAACAACACACAAAUAAAAGAAAUUGACCCUGUGCAGUGUUCUGAUAAGUUAGAUGAAUUGAAAGAUAUCAAACAUGAAAGGAUAAUUCAUCCUAACUGUGAUAAAGAAAAGUCUUUACUUUCAGACAAUUUUCAGACCACCUGUGCACUUCAAAUUUCUAAUUCAAAUGAUACAAAACAAAAAGAGAGUGGCCCAUCAGCACCAUUGUGUGCCUGCCCUCCUGAUUGUGACCAGCACAGUGUGAAACACAACAUCCAUGAUCAAAAUGGGGUGCAGCUGCUUAAGAGUAUAUUAAAGAAAGAAUCCAGAUAUGAACAUAAUUAUUUGAGGGCAUUAGUUAUGAAUCAAGGUUUUAAGUUUAGACACCACAAGGCAGGAAGUAUUAGAGAUAGUAUUGAAUUAACAAAACAGAAAGGGAAAGGUACAGAAAUAUCAAAGACUAGUAAAAAACUGCGGUGGUUUGAUGAAAGUGCUAACAUAGAAAAUGGUGUAAAUAAUAGCCACCCGAUGAAGAACAGAGCAGGAAUGGCUCCACAGUGCUUCCAGCACUGUCACCCCAACAGUGUCACCUGCAACCUGACCAGUUUUCCUGAAUGUCCUGUACAUUCUGCUGGUGGAAAGAAAGCCAAGGCUGAUUCUGUCUCUGAGAAUGUUACUGAUUUAGGAGGAUAUGAAAUGGACAGUGUGCCUUUGAACUCUUCUGAAUCUUCAGGCUAUAGCUUUGCCAAACAAGCCUGGUCACCCUGCA
rnacentral:lncRNA from 1 species